UACGUAGGUGGCAAGCGUUGUCCGGAAUUAUUGGGCGUAAAGGGCUCGCAGGCGGUUUCUUAAGUCUGAUGUGAAAGCCCCCGGCUCAACCGGGGAGGGUCAUUGGAAACUGGGGAACUUGAGUGCAGAAGAGGAGAGUGGAAUUCCACGUGUAGCGGUGAAAUGCGUAGAGAUGUGGAGGAACACCAGUGGCGAAGGCGACUCUCUGGUCUGUAACUGACGCUGAGGAGCGAAAGCGUGGGGAGCGAACAGG
rnacentral:rRNA from 2 species